GGGCUUGUAACUCAGUUGGUUAGAGUGCCUUCUUCACAGGGAGGAAGUCGGGGGUUCGAGUCCCUCCAAGCCCA
rnacentral:tRNA from 1 species